rnacentral:misc_RNA from 1 species
AAAUCACCAACCAUGGGAGGAGUUACGGAUGGUUCAGGAAACUAAGAUAAGAGAUGGUGGAUUGCAUAUUCAACGAGUUUCUUCCUUCUUUAACUGUCUUCUCAAAAAGGAGGAUGAUUUCCUUGUAAUAAAACUCCGAAGUUGACACUUAUUUCAUUGAAUGGAGAAUGAUUUGGGUCAAAUGUUCUUGACCAACAGAACUUCAGGGUCAUUCUCUUGCCGGCUAUUUUGUGAUGUAAAUUAAUGUAUCAGACAUCUGAUCACUUAAUCAUUGCCAAAUACUUUGCACCAUUUCUGUAUCUUGUAUAAUUGCAAUCAUACUUGGCUGACUCAGUGGAUUCGUCUCGGAGAUUUUAAAGGUAAUUACUUGUUGUAGUUGGAUGUACUUAAAAACAAGUCAAAGUGCCUAAGAUCAGGGAUUGAGGAUGUGACAAGAUGAUGUGCAUAUAAAAUAUAUUAAUAAAUCUUAUUUGAAGAAAUAUGGAAAAACUGGAUUUCUACAGCUUAUCUCUAAUGAUUAAUUUAGUUUCUUGAUUUAAAUAGAAACUCACAUUUACACUUCAUGCUCUUAAUUGA